AUAUUAAAUAGCUGAACCUUGAAAUGAUGCAAAAACAUUAUUUAACCUUGCACAAUAACAGCAAGGCUUCAAAAGAAAGGAGCAUCCAUGCAAAAAUCGAGUGCCAUUGUUACUGAAAGAAUAGAGAAACCAAACAUAUGCAUAAAAGACUUCUAUAUAAAAGCAAAAAGAAAAAGAAAAAAGGUAGCUUUUCUUAUGCAAUGUGUGCAAAUCUUCAAACGAAUUAUCAGUGACACAACGCUCAGUAGGUAAGAAGAUCAUCCAUGGCCUUUAUAUCUAUUUUGAUCCCUAUAGACCCCUUCCGCUCUACGUGUUUAGAAGAAAAUUUUGUUGAUUAGAAUUGAUUUAGUUUACAGUUCACCAAACGCCUAUGUUGUAGAUGAUGAUUAGUCAAUUGCCUUUAACUUCCAAAAUUUCCAAAUUCCAAUUAUCAAAAUGAUUGUGCUACAUUAAGAUAUUUCUUUCAACCACAGUGGUUCCACAUUCACCUCAUAUGUCAUGUUCCUCCAUUCAGGUGCCCAUUCCUCAGCAAUUCUGUUCCUAAUAAGAUCAGGAUCUGCCGUUGGUGGCUGCCGAAUGUCGAAUCCCGCCUCC
rnacentral:lncRNA from 1 species